rnacentral:rRNA from 2 species
CACACGACUCUCGGCAACGGAUAUCUUGGCUCUCGCAUCGAUGAAGAACGUAGCAAAAUGCGAUACCUGGUGUGAAUUGCAGAAUCCCGCGAACCAUCGAGUUUUUGAACGCAAGUUGCGCCCGAGGCCUUCUGGCCGAGGGCACGUCUGCCUGGGCGUCACGC